CAGAGGGGUUCGAUCCUGGCUCAAGGUGAACGCUGGCAGGAUGCUACAUGCGAGUCGAACGGCAGCACGGACUUCGGUCUGGUGGCGAGUGGCGAACAAUUGUGUAUCGGAACGUGCCUAGUAGCGGGGAUAACUACGCGAGAAAGCGUAGCUAAUACCAUACGCCCUUCGGGAAAGCGGGGGACCUUCCGGGCCUCGCACUAUUAAACGGCCGAUAUCGGAUUAGCUAGUUGGUGGGGUAACAGCUCGCCAAGGCGACGAUCCGUAGCUGAGGACUGAGGAGGACGACCAGCCACACUGGGACUGAGACACGGCCAGACUCCUACGGGAGGCAGCAGUGAAAUUUUGGACAAUGGAAACCUGAUCCAGCCAUCCGCGUGUGCGAUGAAGGCCUUCGGGUUAUAAAACGCUUUUUGGCAGGAAAGAAGCAGCUGCAGGAUAAUACCCCGUGCAACUGACAAUACCUGCACCAGAAUAAGCACCGGCUAACUACGUACCAGCAGCGGUAAUACGUAGAAGGUGCAAGCGUUAAUCAGAUUACUGGGCGUAAAGCGUGCGCAGGCGGUUCGGAAAAGAAAGAUGUGAAAUCCCAGAGCUUAACUUUGGAACUGCACAUUUUUUAACUACCGAGCUAGAGUGUGUCAGAGGAGGUGGAAUUCCGCGUGUAGCAGUGAAUGCGUAGAUAUGCGGAGGAACACCGAUGGCGAGGCAGCCUCCUGGGGAUAACACUGGCGCUCAUGCACGGCGUGAGGAGCAAACAGGAUUAGAUACCCUGGUAGUCCACGCCCUAAACGAUGUCAACUAGCUGUUGAGGCCUUCGGGCCUUGGUAGCGCAAUAGCGAUGAAGUUGACCGCCUGGGAAGUACGGUCGCAAGAUUCAAAACUCAAAGGAAUUGACGGGGACCCGCACAAGCGGUGGAUGAUGGAUUAAUUCGAUGCAACGCGAAAAACCUUACCUACCUGACAUGUCUGGAAUCGAAGAGAUUUGGGAGUGCUCGCAAGAGAACGGAACACAGGUGCUGCAUGGCGCUGUCGUCAGCUCGUGUCGUGAGAUGUUGGGUUAAGUCCCGCAACGAGCGCAACCUUGUCAUUGGUGCCACGAAAGGGCACUCUAAUGGAACUGCCGGUGACAAACCGGAGGAAGGUGGGGAUGACGUCAAGUCCUCAUGGCCCUUAUGGGUAGGGCUUCACGUCAUGCAAUGGUCGGGACAGAGGGUCGCCAACCCGCGAGGGGAGCCAAUCCCAGAAACCCGAUCGUAGUCCGGAUCACCGGUCUGCAACUCGACUGCGUGAAGUCGGAAUCGCUAAGUAAUCGCGGAUCAGCAUGUCGCGGUGGGCGUUCCCGGGUCUUGUACACCGCCCGUCACACCAUAGGAGUGGGUUUACCAGAAGUAGUUAGCCUAACCGUAAGGAGGGCGAUUACCACGGUAGGAUUCAUGACUAGGGUGAAGUCGUAACAAGGUAG
rnacentral:rRNA from 1 species